rnacentral:rRNA from 1 species
CAACUUUUAACGGUGGAUCUCUUGGCUCACGUAUCGAUGAAGAACGCAGCCAGCUGCGAUAAGUAGUGUGAAUUGCAGAAUUCAGUGAAUCACAGAAUUCAGUGAAUCAUUGGAUCUUUGAACGCAAAUGGCGCUCUUGGGUUCUCCCAGGAGCAUGUCUGUCUGAGUGUCG